AGGGUUUGAUUCUGGCUCAGAGUGAACGUUGGCGGCGUGGAUUAGGCAUGCAAGUCGAGCGAGAACCGUAGCAAUACGGGGACAGCGGCGAAAGGGACAGUAAUGUGUAGGUACCUACCCCGAGGUCUGGGAUAGCUGCGGGAAACUGCAGGUAAUACCGGAUAAUGUCUUCGGACCAAAGGUGUGAUUCCACCUUGGGAGGGGCCUGCAUCCUAUUAGCUAGUUGGGGAGGUAACGGCUCACCAAGGCGACGAUGGGUAGCGGGUGUGAGAGCACGACCCGCGUCAUUGGGACUGAGACACUGCCCAGACACCUACGGGUGGCUGCAGUCGAGGAUCUUCGGCAAUGGGCGCAAGCCUGACCGAGCGACGCCGCGUGCGGGAUGAAGGCCUUCGGGUUGUAAACCGCUGUCGUAGAGGAGGAAAUGCAGGGGGGUUCUCCCCUCUGUUUGACCUAUUCUAGGAGGAAGUACGGGCUAAGUUCGUGCCAGCAGCCGCGGUAAGACGAACCGUACAAACGUUACUCGGAAUUACUGGGCUUAAAGGGUGCGUAGGCUGCGCGGAAAGUUGGGUGUGAAAGCCCUCAGCUCAACUGGGGAAUUGCAUUCAAAACUACCGUGCUCGAGGGAGACAGAGGUAAGCGGAACUCAAGGUGGAGCGGUGAAAUGCGUUGAUAUCUUGAGGAACACCGGUGGCGAAGGCGGCUUACUGGGUCUCUUCUGACGCUGAGGCACGAAAGCUAAGGUAGCAAACGGGAUUAGAUACCCCGGUAGUCUUAGCUGUAAACGAUGAGCACUUGUUUGAAGGGUCCUCCAUAGCCUUUCAGACGUAGCGAAAGUGUUAAGUGCUCCGCCUGGGGAGUAUGGUCGCAAGGCUGAAACUCAAAGAAAUUGACGGGGGCUCACACAAGCGGUGGAGGAUGUGGCUUAAUUCGAGGCUACGCGAAGAACCUUAUCCUAGUCUU
rnacentral:rRNA from 1 species